GGGCCAAGCGUGCUGAGAGGACUG
rnacentral:piRNA from 1 species